rnacentral:piRNA from 1 species
UUGCCUGCGCUGGUGCUGUAGAUGGUA